rnacentral:rRNA from 1 species
AUUUUGGACAAUGGGGGAAACCCUGAUCCAGCCAUCCCGCGUGUGCGAUGAUGGCCUUCGGGGUGUAAAGCACUUCUGUCAGGGAAGAAAUCGUACAGGCUAAUAACUUGUGCGGUUGACGGUACCUGACGAAUAAGCACCGGCUAACUACGUUCCAGCAGCCGCGGUAAUACGUAGGGUGCAAGCGUUGAUCGGAAUUACUGGGCGUAAAGGGUGCGCAGGCGGUUUAUCAAGAGAGGUGUGAAAUCCCCGGGCUUAACCUGGGAAUGGCACUUUUAACUGGUAGGCUAGAGUAUGUCAGAGGGGGAUAGAAUUCCACGUGUAGCAGUGAAAUGCGUAGAGAUGUGGAGGAAUACCGAUGGCGAAGGCAGCCCCCUGGGAUAAUACUGACGCUCACGCACGAAAGCGUGGGGAGCAAACA